UACGGGGGGGGCAAGCGUUGUUCGGAAUUACUGGGCGUAAAGGGUUCGUAGGUGGCCAACUAAGUCAGACGUGAAAUCCCUCAGCUUAACUGGGGAACUGCGUCUGAUACUGGUUGGCUUGAGUGCAGGAGAGGAACGCGGAAUUCCAGGUGUAGCGGUGAAAUGCGUAGAUAUCUGGAGGAACACCGGUGGCGAAGGCGGCGUCCUGGACUGCAACUGACACUGAAAGACGAAAGCCAGGGGAGCAAACAGG
rnacentral:rRNA from 1 species